rnacentral:sRNA from 1 species
UUAAUCUAUUUCUUGGUAAUUGAAAUAUCUAUGUACCAUAGAAUCUACUAAAACUAGAUAAACGAUU